rnacentral:rRNA from 1 species
GAUGAACGCUGGCGGCGCGCCUAACACAUGCAAGUCGAACGAUUAAAGCACCUUCGGGUGUGUAUAAAGUGGCGAACGGCUGAGUAACACGUGGGCAACCUGCCCCUUUCAUUGGGAUAGCCACGGGAAACCGUGGAUAAUACCGAAUACUUCGAGACUUCCGCAUGGAAGACUCGAGAAAGCUCCGGCGGAGAGGGAUGGGCCCGCGGCCUGUUAGCUUGUUGGUGGGGUAACGGCCUACCAAGGCAAUGAUGGGUAGCUGGGUUGAGAGACCGACCAGCCAGAUUGGGACUGAGACACGGCCCAGACUCCUACGGGAGGCAGCAGUGGGGAAUCUUGCACAAUGGGCGAAAGCCUGAUGCAGCGACGCCGCGUGCGGGAUGAAGGCCUUCGGGUUGUAAACCGCUUUCAGCAGGGACGAGGCGAAAGUGACGGUACCUGCAGAAGAAGCCCCGGCUAUCUACGUG